rnacentral:rRNA from 1 species
UAGGGAAUAUUGGGCAAUGGCGGAAACGCUGACCCAGCCAUGCCGCGUGCAGGAUGAAGGCCUUCUGGGUUGUAAACUGCUUUUAUCUAGGAAGAAACUACCCUUGCGAGGGGAACUGACGGUACUAGGUGAAUAAGCACCGGCUAACUCCGUGCCAGCAGCCGCGGUAAUACGGAGGGUGCAAGCGUUGUCCGGAUUUAUUGGGUUUAAAGGGUGCGUAGGCGGCCCUGUAAGUCCGUGGUGAAAGCCAACAGCUCAACUGUUGAACUGCCAUGGAUACUGCAGGGCUUGAGUACAGACGAGGUAGGCGGAAUGGAUAGUGUAGCGGUGAAAUGCAUAGAUACUAUCCAGAACACCGAUUGCGUAGGCAGCUUACUAGGCUGUA